UGCUAAAGUCCGGAAGGGCAACUGCUAUGAUUGUGCACCCUCCAGGUUAUGUUACCUUGGUCUCUCUCAAGUCUUGAAGCUCAGCACUUAGGCGGACUGCUUUCCUCAACUUUGUUAUAAAAGAAAUAAAUGGCUCCUACCCUGAAGAAGCUUACCAUUUAGAAGAAUAGACAAGCAAAUGUGUGUACAACAAGUAAAAUGAUGUUCAAGAUAUAUGAGUGACUGGGUAAGGAAGCAGCAAAAGGAAGAAAAUACUUCACUGGAAACUAGGUGGG